rnacentral:misc_RNA from 1 species
AUUUUUGGCUAUUAAUUUCUUCAGUGGAAGUCACAACUCCAACUAAAUCUAUGAAACAAGCAAACAAUAGCAGAUGAAUUAAAAUUAGAAUUAAGACAAUUUACUUUUAACCUAAAUAAAGCUAUUCAAAAUCAAUUCGUAAGAGAUUAAUGACUAUGCAAGUUGUACAAACAAUCCCAGUAAGCUUCACAUGACAGAGGAACAGAAUAAUUAUGUGUACCAGAACAAUAUACGAAGUCCUUAAGGAACACCCCCCCGUGUGGCCACUUUAUCAUUACAAUAAGACCAACUUUUCCAUAGGCCACCAUUUGAGGUGUGAACUAAAGAUCUGUUGGGUUCAUAAAGAAAUGAAAUGGAAAUUGGAAGAAAUUCAUUCCAUUUUGAUUCUCAGAGUUUAUACAAAGCCUUUGGUGACUUUGGUCCAACGUUCCUAGUUUAAUAUACUCAUCUUCUACAUUUCUGCCAUUUGGACUUUAGCUACAGCCAAUAAAUUUUUAUUAAUAAAUGGAAAAGUGAAUCAAGUAUGUCACUGGGGCUUCAAAAGAAUGAUCACACGAUGAUGCCCGAUCCGGGUCUCACUGAUGCGACCAAGGUGACGAAGAGCUGUCAGUAUAGCUUUUCCGGUGUUGUCAAGCUUCAAUGUUGGCCCUUUUAUGUCUGUUUCAAGGAAAAAGUGUUUUCCCUUUAUUGUUUCUGUCAUUGCAAUAUCCCUUACUUCCUGCAUGUUUCAUAAACGUAUUGAAAAUCAACUGCAUAAGCAACAGUUAAUUUGCACAGAAACAGAAGAAGGGCAUUAGCACUAUCACAUUUGUAUAACUGUUUGAAAUGGAAUACAAGCUUUUAUAUAUAGUAGUUUGGUAUGAAUGUAUUAAUCUACAUCAGCUUCUCACAGAGUGGCCAGCAAAGCAGCAAACUUAUGCAAUUCCAGAAAAGCAUUCAGCCUAUGAAGAAACACAAGUGCUUGAAGUAAUUUUGGAUUGUGUUGUUAGUUAAAUUCACUUACCAAUGCUUUUUCCCAUAGAUUUUCUGCCAGCUUUUUCUUUGAGGCUCCAAUAAGCUGAGAAUUCAUUUCAGCAUAUGCUGCCAUGUCAUUGAUAGCAGCAUUAACCUUAUCUAGUGUGAGCCUUCCUCUCAUGUAUCUGCAAUCAGUGGAGAUUCAGAUAAAAACAGAGUUUAGAUGAUGUUAGAUCUCCAUUUCCCAAUUGAAGUCUCAAAACCCUAAAAGUUACUGUCUUAUGCCUAUCUGCUGAGAAAAUACGUGCAGAAGUAUACAAUUAUCCGUUAGAAGUUCAUCCUAUGUCCUAAAAGUACAUGUCCUCCAAGGUUCAAAGUUCAAACAGGUAAAUUUAGCAAUAAACCCACAGAGAGAUAUUUCAAUAUAAAUUGGUAUUGACAAAAAAAUAAGACCAAGUCCACAUAAAGUUGUUCUAAUGGAUAAAUCAUGAAAUGUAACUGACUAGCUCAUAAGCAGCCCACCAAUCCUAGCAUGGAUGAGAAUAAAAAUUGUACAGUUGAAAAGGAAUGAGAGAUUAACUCACGAGGACAGGGAAUCUAGCUCAUCAGCAGUUAUAUACCAUAACGGUGGAGAGGCACGGCCCUUUUUUCCCUAGAAUUAACAAACAUAAGAAAACUGAUUCAAGUAACUUCCUCUUAGGCUCAUGCUUUAUCUGCAACAUAAGUUUUUGAGAAAUAAGAGAAAAUUUUUGCCCAAUAGCCAAACAUUUGCACUUUUUUAGUUUCUUUGUUUACGUUUUUGUUCUUCACCUCAUACUUCCAGGUUCAUGAUACAAAUGUUUCAUCCCAACAAAGAUGAGAGACUACUUUUGGGCAAGAUGCAUCAAACCACACAGAGCAAUUAUAAAGUGAGCCUUCUUCUAAGCCACCCACAAAUCACUAGCAUGUAAUAAAAUUUUACAAAACAAUUAAAUCUCAAAUAACUUUGUUAUUAUAAUCCUUGGGCAAUGUUGCUUAUGCUUCAUCAAAUUGAUCAUACCUUGGGUAAUGCUGCAGGCUCCUCCUCAGUCUUUAAAGAACCAAACGCAGGUUGUAGAUUAGAGGCUUCAGAAUGUACACUUCUAUUUGUAUCUGAAUUCAAUACGGUAAUUCUUUCUGGCAAAUGCGAGGGAAUAUGAACAGACAAACUCUGCAACUUCUUCUGCUGCUGCAGUGAUGCAUUGAUGAGUUUCUUAGCUUUAGGAAUAGCCUCAGUCUCCUCACGCAACCGGUCCUUAAUAGCUUGUAUCUGCAGCUCCAUCGCCUUCAAUGCAGCAUCCACCGCCGACAGAUCAGUGAUGCUGCCCGCCGCAUACAUGUUUCGGCCGAUAACGAGUUCUUGAAGCUCAGCGAUUCGAGUAUUAAACGAAGAUAUGAGAGAAUCGAGCGACGAACCAGCUUGAUUCACUGCCAUCUUCUCUCUGUCUCAGUCAAUAAUCUCUGAUUUUCAGAAUCUCUAAAUAGCUUCAAAUCCUUGGAUGUGUUUUUGGAGACUUUAGUGGGCGGGAAGGAAGGAAGGGUUUUCAUUUUUG